CAGCCGCCGCGGUAAUACCGGCGGCCCGAGUGGCGGUCACUAUUAUUGGGCUUAAAACGUCCGUAGCCGGGUUGGGAAGUCCUCCGGGAAAUCUGGCCGCUUAACGGUCAGAAUGCCGGAGGAUACUCCCAGCCUAGGGAGCGGGGGAGGCCGAGGGGAUUCCCGGAGGAGGGGUGAAAUCCUAUAAUUCCGGGAGGACCACCUGUGGCGAAGGCGCUCGGCUGGAACGCGUCCGACGGUGAGGGACGAAGGCCAGGGGAGCAAACCGGAUUAGAUACCCGGGUAGUCCUGGCUGUAAACGAUGCGGACUUUGUGUCGGACAAGCUAUGAGCUUGUCCGGUGCCGGAGGGAAACCGUUAAGUCCGCCGCCUGGGGAGUACGGCCGCAAGGCUGAAACUUAAAGGAAUUGGCGGG
rnacentral:rRNA from 1 species